UUGUGCAUGAUGAUACCCUGAUAUAU
rnacentral:piRNA from 1 species